rnacentral:rRNA from 1 species
AGAGUUUGAUCCUGGCUCAGGAUGAACGCUAGCGGCAGGCUUAACACAUGCAAGUCGAGGGGCAGCAUGUCCAGCAAUGGAUGAUGGCGACCGGCGGAAGGGUGCGUAACGCGUGAGCAACAUGCCCUAUACAGGGAGAUACACCAGGGAAACUUGGUCUAAUAUCCCGUAGCAUUCAUUGAAGGCAUCUUUAAUGAAUUAAAGCUUCGGUGGUAUAGGAUUGGCUCGCGUGACAUUAGCCAGAUGGUGAGGUAACGGCUCACCAUAGCAAUGAUGUCUAGGGGUUUUGAGAGGAAGGCCCCCCACACUGGGACUGAGACACGGCCCAGACUCCUACGGGAGGCAGCAGUGAGGAAUAUUGGACAAUGGAUGGAAAUCUGAUCCAGCCAUGCCGCGUGCAGGAAGACGGCCUUAUGGGUUGUAAACUGCUUUUAUACGGGAGCAAUAAGGGUUACGAGUAAUCCGAUGAGAGUACUGUAUGAAUAAGGAUCGGCUAACUCCGUGCCAGCAGCCGCGGUAAUACGGAUGAUCCGAGCGUUAUCCGGAAUUAUUGGGUUUAAAGGGUGCGUAGGCGGCCAUUUAAGUCAGCGGUGAAAUUUUGCAGCUUAACUGUAACAGUGCCGUUGAUACUGUUUGGCUAGGAUUUGGUUGUAGUGUGCGGAAUGUGUGGUGUAGCCGGUGAAAUG